AUACGGAGGGUGCAAGCGUUACUCGGAAUCACUGGGCGUAAAGCGCGCGCAGGCGGUCUUUUAAGUUGGAUGUGAAAGCCUACGGCUCAACCGUAGAACUGCAUCCAAAACUAUUAGACUAGAGUGUGGGAGAGGAAGAUGGAAUUAGUUGUGUAGGGGUAAAAUCCGUAGGGAUAACUAGGAAUACCAAAAGCGAAGGCAAUCUUCUGGAACACUACUGACGCUGAGGCGCGAAAGCGUGGGGAGCAAACAGGAUUAGAAACCCCAGUAGUCC
rnacentral:rRNA from 1 species